AUUGAACGCUGGCGGCAGGCCUAACACAUGCAAGUCGAACGAGUGGCGGACGGGUGAGUAAUGUCUGGGAAACUGCCUGAUGGAGGGGGAUAACUACUGGAAACGGUAGCUAAUACCGCAUACCAUCGGAUGUGCCCAGAUGGGAUUAGCUCGUUGGUGGGGUAAAGGCUCACCUAGGCGACGAUCCCUCGCGGGUGUGAGAGGAUGACCAGACACACUGGAAGUGAGACACGGUCGAGACUCGUACGGUGGGCAGCAGUGGGGAAUAGUGAACAAUGGGCGCAAGCCUGAUGCAGCCAUGCCGCGGGUAGGAAGAAGGCCUUCGGGUUGUAAAGUACUUUCAGCGGGUAGGCGGUACCCGCAGAAGAAGCACCGGCUAACUCCGUGCCAGCAGCCGCGGUAAGAC
rnacentral:rRNA from 1 species